AACGAACGCUGGCGGCAUGCCUAACACAUGCAAGUCGAACGAGACCUUCGGGUCUAGUGGCGCACGUGUGCUUAACGCCGGGGAACCUGCCCUUAGGUUCGGAAUAACUCCCCUAAAGGGGUGCUAAUACCGGAUAAUGUCUUCGGACCAAAGAUUUAUCGCCUUUGGAUGGGCCCGCGUUGGAUUAGCUAGUUGGCAGGGUAAAAGCCUACCAAGGCGACGAUCCUUAGCUGGUCGGAGAGGAUGAGCAGCCACACUGGGAAUGAGACACGGCCCAGACUCCUACGGGAGGGAGCAGUGGGGAAUAUUGGACAAUGGGCGAAAGCCUGAUACAGCAAUGCCGCGUGAGUGAUGAAGGCCUUAGGGUUGUAAAGCUCUUUUACCCGGGAUGAUAAUGACAGUACCGGGAGAAUAAGCUCCGGCUAACUACGUG
rnacentral:rRNA from 1 species